GUUUGGUGUGUGUGUGUAUGGUUUGGGAGCUUUGCUCUCUCGUGCUGCCUUGCACUUGGACUUGACUGGCUAGUGCCUGACAGACAACCUCAUGACAAGCAAGCUACAGCUUCACCACAGUGGCUGCCUGGGAAAUCGUGACCGCCAAAGAAAUGCCAUGCUGUGCCAUCCUGGACUUCAAGGAGUAGAUGGCUACUGGGGCCUCUUCCGCUCGCCUUCGAGAUGGGACAGAAGCUUCCUAAAGGCGUGGUUCCAGCCUCGAUUCCAGGUCACUCACCUUCCAUCCAUGCACAGUGAGAUGGACCUGGGGUGAAGGCACUUGCUACCGAGCCUGCCAACCUGUAUUCUGGUCCAGGGACCCACGUGAUGUCAGGAGGGAACUGACUCCUGGUAGCUCUCCUCUGACCUCCAUAGCUGUGCUGUGGCACUCCCAAGCUUUCUUAUGAAACGAAUUAAUUAAUUAAUGCAAAAGAGACUUAAGGUCACUAAAGACUACAGGGCGUGGGGCCUGACAAGUCACGGCUGACAGGUCAGGGCUCUCUCUUUGGAGCAGAACAGUGGAUCUCAACCUUCCUAAAUGCUGCCACCCUUUAAAACAACUCCUCACGCUGUGCCGACCCCCAACCAAGAGAUUAUUUCAUUGCUACUUCAUAACUGUAAUUUUGCUACUGUAACGAAUCGUAGUGUAAAUAUUCUCGGAGAGAGAGAGGUUUGGCAAAGGGGUCACAGCCCAGAGGUUGAGAAAAACUGGAGUAGAACAUGCUAGAACCACAGAACAUAACACUUUAGUCGGUUUUUAGACAAACCGGGCGGCAAGCCCAUCACACAAGGGCUGCUGGUCUGGCAGGCUUGAAGGAGACGGCGUGCCACUGCACAAACACCAUUGAGCCGCAGUUGAUUAUUCCAGAUCUGAAGGAGCUCUCAAACCUGGGCCUCCUCACCCCUGAAGUGGUCAGGUCCGAACGACUACCUUGCCCCUGGGCCUUACCAGUCUGAACCCCCCAGCCCUGGCACCAAUAGCGACAAGAAAAAGCCCAAGUGCCUUUGAGUCUGGUUUCCUUUCCUGGCAUUGUUCAAAGUACGUAGCCCCUGGGGACAGGCUGAGUCCCAGCUGCUGCGAACUGGGCUCUGGGAGAGGAAGUACCACCCAGAACUGGUUGGCAAACCUGGCAGCUUCCACAGCAGGCAGGUCCAACCCCUCUGACAAUUCCAUCCAGACUGACUAGGGAGGACCUGGGAUUUUACUGCUGUCCUUGCAGAUCUCCGGCUUCUCAGACCUGGAAUCCUGCUGAGCCAGGUUUAGUCAUUCAACCAACACAAACCAAGUACCUAGCAAGGAGCUGGGUGGGCACUGCUUGGCUCCAGGGCUGCUGCCGAAAUCACCGCAGCCCAAUCCAGUGAGCCUAGAGUGGGUUGGCGGGCUAGGCAAACAAGGGACUUCUGAGUCAGGUCACAAUCUCAGUUUUAGUACUCACAUCUGUGUGACGUCAUUACUGCUCCACGGUGUGGUUAAGGCAAAGGGUUUUAUUGUAGAUACGCGAGAAAGACCAGCCAGAGGCAUUUGGAAGUGUCCAGAGCAGAAAGAGAAAGAAGUAGGCUAAACAUGACCAGUGGACUGGCCCCCUAUCUCUUAGAGAAGCAGAAACAGAGCAGAGAGACAGACAGGCAGAGAGGGGGGGGAGGGGGAAGAUUUGGGCAAGGGAGACAGAGAGAAUAUAUUGACAAUAACAGGGUUACAAGGUUAACGCCUGUACUAGAGGGAGUCUAGGGUGAGAAGAGUUAGGGCACAGCAUGGGCUCUGAAAUGUGGAGCAGGUGCUUUUCUUAGGGACCCUGGAGGCAGCAGUGCUUGGGUAUGCUAACAGGCACCACAAACAGCCGACUGUCCUUUCUACCAGCGAUAAGAAGGAGUCCUUUUUGCCGAGGGGAACCGGCUGCAAAAGUUCCCGAGGAAUGCUGGCUUUUGUCUCACCACCAGAAAUCCUCCAGGACGGCCUUUUGGAGUUUGAGGAACUGGAGUCUCCUUUGGACCUGACAUGGCCCUGUACAGAGUUCUUGACUUUGUGCUGGGAAUGGAACGCAGAGUCUUAAGUGCGCUAGGCAAGCACUUUACCAUUGAGCCACACUCCCAAGCCCUGGGGGGGGGGGAGCCGGAGGGGUUCUAGACAGAGACCUUACUACUGAGCCGCAUUGCCCAGUUCUAAUGCUGUUCUUAGGACAUUCAGGAACAGGCAAAACCACAGAGAUAGAAGACAUGUUCAUGACGAACUGGGGCUGGGACAGGAAGAAAGCUAAUAAAACAGUGUAAGACACUU